GAUGAACGCUGGCGGCGUGCCUAAUACAUGCAAGUCGAGCGAACGGACGAGAAGCUUGCUUCUCUGAUGUUAGCGGCGGACGGGUGAGUAACACGUGGAUAACCUACCUAUAAGACUGGGAUAACUUCGGGAAACCGUAGCUAAUACCGGAUAAUAUUUUGAACCGCAUGGUUCAAAAGUGAAAGACGGUCUUGCUGUCACUUAUAGAUGGAUCCGCGCUGCAUUAGCUAGUUGGUAAGGUAACGGCUUACCAAGGCAACGAUGCAUAGCCGACCUGAGAGGGUGAUCGGCCACACUGGAACUGAGACACGGUCCAGACUCCUACGGGAGGCAGCAGUAGGGAAUCUUCCGCAAUGGGCGAAAGCCUGACGGAGCAACGCCGCGUGAGUGAUGAAGUUCUUCGGAUCGUAAAACUCUGUUAUUAGGGAAGAACAUAUGUGUAAGUAACUGUGCACAUCUUGACGGUACCUAAUCAGAAAGCCACGGCUAACUACGUG
rnacentral:rRNA from 1 species